AACUUUCGGCAAUGGAUCUCUUGGCUCUCGCAUCGAUGACGAACGCAGCGAAAUGCGAUAAUUAAUGUGAAUUGCAGAAUUCAGCGAAUCAUCGAAUCUUUGAACGCACCUUGCGCUCCUUGGUAUUCCGAGGAGCAUGUCUGUUUGAGUGUCAUUAAUAUAUAUCAACCCUCUUCUCUUGUUGAGUGGUUUGGAUGUGGGGGUUUGAUUUGCUGGCCUCUUUUUGAGAGGUUCAGCUCCCCUGAAAUGCAUUAGCAGAACGACCUGUUCAUUGGUGUGAUAAACUAUCUACGCUAUUGAACGUGAGGCAGUUCAGCUUCCUAACAGUCCUCCGGACAAAUUUAUCAUUUAAUGUGACCUCAAACCAGGUAGGACUACCCGCUGAACUUAAGCAUAUCAAUAAGCGGAGGCU
rnacentral:misc_RNA from 1 species